GGGCUACUACAUCUAAGGAAGGCAGCAGGCGCGCAAAUUACCCAAUCCCGAUUCGGGGAGGUAGUGACAAAAAAUAACAAUACCGGGCCUUUUUGGGCUUGGUAAUUGGAAUGAGGGAGAGUUAAACGGACCAUCGAGUAUCCAUUGGAGGGCAAGUCUGGUGCCAGCAGCUGCGGUAAUACCAGCUCCAAUAGCGUAUAUUAAAGUUGUUGCAGUUAAAAAGCUCGUAGUUGGACUUGUGUGCGCUGUCCGCGGGUGGCCUGCGCCCAAAAGGGCGUUUCGGUUCGGCCCCGGUGGCGCCUUGAAAUCUGCAGCUGGGGGGACGUUGGCCUUAACUGGUCGGCGACCGCACGCCGGCUGCUCGGUUACUGUGAGAAAAUUAGAGUGUUCAAGGCAGGCAUUGGGUGCAAUUGAAUACAUUAGCAUGGAAUAAUAAAAUAUGGCUCCUGCCGUAUUUUGUUGGUUUUGACUGGUGGGAGUAAUGAUUGAUAGGGACGGUUGGGGGUGCUAGUAUUGAGCGGCCAGAGGUGAAAUUCAUGGAUUCGCUCAAGACUAACUUAUGCGAAAGCAUUCACCAAGGACGUCCUCUUUAAUCAAGAACGAAAGUUGGGGGAUCGAAGACGAUCAGAUACCGUCGUAGUCUCAACCAUAAACUAUGUCGACUUGGGAUCGGCGGUAGUUUUUUCAUUAAGACACUGUCGGGACCACGGGAGAAAUCAAAGUGUCUGGACUCUGGGGGAAGUAUGGUCGCAAGGCUGAAACUUGAAGGAAUUGACGGAAGGGCACCACCAGGAGUGGAGCCUCCGGCUUAAUUUGACCCAACACGGGGAAACUUACCAGGUCCAGAGAUGUAGAGGAUUGACAGAUUGGAGCUCUUUCUUGAUCACUUCGGUGGUGGUGCAUGGCCGUUCUUAGUUGGUGGAGUGAUUUGUCUGGUUAAUUCCGUUAACGAACGAGACCUCAGCCUGCUAGUGUAGUCGGCUGGAUUGCCUUUGGCGAUCCGUGAUUUCGACUUCUUAGAGGGACAAUCGACGCGCAGUCGAUGGAAGUUUGAGGCAAUAACAGGUCUGUGAUGCCCUUAGAUGUUCUGGGCCGCAUGCGCGCUACACUGCUGGGCUCAGCGAGUUUUACUUGGCCGAGAGGCCCGGUUAAUCUUGUGAAAUCCCAGCGUGCUUGGGCUCGCCUCCUGCAACUGGAGGCGCCAACGAGGAAUUCCUAGUAGACGCAGGUCAUCAACCUGCAUCGAUUACGUCCCUGCCCUUUGUACACACCGCCCGUCGUUCCAUAAGAGUGAGGCAUCCGGUGAAUUCUCGGGAGAGCCUGGGCGUGGCCAGCAAUGGUCUGCUCGGGUUUGAACUUGCAUAAACUUGGUGC
rnacentral:rRNA from 1 species